rnacentral:lncRNA from 1 species
UCAAGAAAUCAAGAUUCCUGGUGCUCAGGCGGGCCGCGUAAAGAAUAGGCAGAAGGUCACGCGGGCCGCAUCAACAUGUGUUUGACCGGAUAAGCGUUCCCAGGCCACGUGGCAUCCACCUGGCAAACCUACUGGUGACCCAGUAACCCUACGCGUAGACUAGGUCACCACGCGGGCCGCGUAAGGGUCGAGCCAAGGCACACGCGGGCCGCGUGAGACCCAAUUUCCAGCUAUAAAUAGAGCGGGUCUUGAGCAAUUCACUGGUGUCGACGAAACUUUCAAAAUCAAUCAUAUUCUGCUCAAAUUUUACCUUCAAAUUGGUAGGGUGCUACUACGAUAUAGGGUAUUAACUCAAUCGCUGCUACGAUUUAAUGUCCGAUCGAUUGAAACUAUCCAAUGAAUGUUUAAGUACUGCUCAAACUUGGGUUAUACUUUCCCGUCGUGAAUUCGAUGGAUGUUUAAGUAUUGCACUUUGUCAUUUGUUGUGAAGGUUUUAAUGUCGUGGGUUGUCGUAAAAGUUGGAUUCAAGUUACUAACCUAGUUUUCGUGUGCAUUGAUAUUUUAAAUAAGGAUACAAUGCUAAAUAGUAGGCUACAACUCUGCCUGUAUAAAUCUGCAAUGUAAUUACAGUAGAUCGGAAUAAGAGCUGGAUACGGCACCAAAAAGGCUUAUAGAAGUGGCUUGAUUUAUCAGUUAAUUAAAAUUAAGAAAAGUUGUUUUAUGUAAUCGGGUUUAUCCCAUAUUAAAAGCUACCUUUAUGAAAUGUGGGUUUAUCCCCAUCUGUGUAAAUAAAUAAAAUCCGGUGUUUCUAAAACUCUAAUAUUUUUCCUAACUCACGGUCCUGAUGAAAUUUCCGCUGCAAUGUUUUUAAAAUAACCACCGGUACCACUUGGCUGCUCACGGCUCCCGAUUCCGUCCAGGGUGGGGUCGGGGGUCGUGACAACCAUUAAUCUAGUUUGGACCUAGGUACAGAGGGUUAGAUCCAAUGUGUUUUGGCAAGCCCCACUCUUGGUCGUAGACCCAUACAGAAGAGUGCGUUUGUGUCCCAGUCGAUGGUAGUCGACACGAAAUCGUCUAGGUUUGGAUUGCUUCCUAUUUCAUCACACAUAUUAAUGUCCUUGCAAAACAUUAAUGAUCAACGAUUUCAUUUGAUGCUUUACAUACUACAACUUACAUUUUAAAUACAUCUUUUAUAACUAACUGCAUGAAUUCGCCAACUUUUGUUGAUGUUUUCCAAACUUAACAUGUAUUUCAAGGAAUUAAUGGACCAUGUCGGGAUUCAUAGUCAAGAUAACAAGUACCGGAACUCCAUGCCAUCUUUUGGAGGGUUUAUCUAUUAUAUCCCGCCUCUUUGCGGCGAUAUGAUGGUUUAAACCUUAGUAGUUUUUUUUCAUUUUGAUGUAUGAAACAAUAACACUUUACUUUUAUGUUAAUGGUUUGUAACCGAAACACUAAACUCAUGAUGUAAUGUUUUGAAACACUUAUGUAAUGGCAAUGGAGUAUGUUU